CCCUCAUCCAAAGACAUGUCAGUGGUUCCCUGUCUUUGGACACGUAAGAAUUGAGGCAAAGAAAUGUGAAUUUUGAGAAAUCUGAGGGCAGCUUGCUCCCUGCAGGCUCAAGAUCAACAUCCCAUAUAG